AAAGAACUAAAGACUAUUUCUAUUAUUUAAGGAGGAGGUUGGUCAGCUAUUGGAGAGUUCCCAGCUCCCCAGGACUCGGGAACUUGACCGUUGCUUCACCCUACAGUAUAAAUAAAGAAGCAAGCUGUCUAGUAGUCAUUCAGAGGUACAAGAUUCUCUCAAGCAUCAUGCCUGACUCCCUUCUUCCCUCUUGGACACCUUACAUCCUCUGGGGACCCACCAACUGCGGGGCUGGAGGGUCAGGCUGCACAGUCAGAGCGGAGCUCUGGAGUUGAUUCCAGCUGCAGAGGCUAAAGCGGGGAAUCGAAUUGAAGAACAAACAUGUGGAUCGACAGAGGCAACCCCAGACAGGCACACCGGACUAGACUGGAAGGCAGCAAUCUGAGUCGGCUGUAUCAACAGCAGGGACCAUGCCCAACCAAACUCCUGCGACAGUGUUGGGAGUUCUCUCCAAAGACACAUAUGCUAGUGAAGAUCACACCAAAAAUAUGUGGAACGAGGAGACAAGGCUAUGUGUUCAUUGGAGCACUUGAAUUUGACCAGACUAGGACUCAGAAGAGUGCUCUCAUUCAUCCAUGAGCUCAGGGGCCUCAUGAGACUGAGGAAACGCUGUCCACGGUGAGUGACAGAGCCAAUAGGAAAUGCCCUGAGCAACACGACUGCUUGAAGAUCAGAGGAAAGGACAGUUUUUGCAAGCUUUUCCACUAUUGUACCAAACUUACAAAGACAGAAGGCCAAACAAUAAACUUAUUUUGUGUCACUAAAAAAAAAAAAAAAAAACAUUUUUAAAAAUCUAGUAUUGAACAACUUUACAGAAAAAUUUACGCGUCUGUUGUUCCGAAACUAUUUUGAAAAAU